GGCAUGUCCUUACGUACGGCAGUGACAUGGGUAGGGGGAGGGCCAGGGAGGGUGAUGUGCGGUGCACAGUGCUGAGCAAUGUGUGUGUGUGUGUGUAAGGUUGCUGCUUGGUGUGUUGCAUUCAGGGAUUUACCUGCGGGCUGCAGUAUGCAGUAGCUAGUAGCGCUGUAGCACUUGUGACGAUCGCGUGUCAUUACACGAGGCAAUCGUACAACCCGCCUCAACCCACAUCAUCAUGACCUAUUUAUCUCUCAUCGGAUCUUCCGUCCACCCAUCCAGUCUCACUCCACGGCAAUGACUGUCCGCUUGGGCCAGUAACAGAUACACGGAUACACAUAGAUCAGUGGUGAGGUGAGGUUGGCACCCCGGAGCUGGAAUGGCGCGCAAGGGCUUCACUAUGCACGUGGGGCCCGGCUUAGUGGCACACACUGGAUACACCUUGGCGUGGUGGGAGGACAAAAGUACGGGUCGGGAGCAGUCAGAACCGUUACUGAACCCUUUAGCUGUUUAACUUUAAUUGGAAAUGUAUCAAAGACGUAGC
rnacentral:lncRNA from 1 species